UCCCUGCCCCCGUAUCUGUCCGUUUAAUACCGUGGCCAUAUUUGUUGAUGUGUCACCUCAACAGGAGAGAGCAGUGAACGUCCAGUGUGUUACGAACAGACCAACUAACAUGAAUAUUGGUCACACUAAAUGGAUCUAACAUAACAGGCCCAGGGCUUUGGGAGAGUAUGGAGCUGUCUGACUGCCAGGGAGAGCAGCCCUCAGCCUCUCAACCUCUUCAGACUUCAGAGGUCAGCCCAGUGCCCACAGGGUCAGCACAGAUCAGCAGUGAUGGUGGUGAGCAUGUGUUAACAAGUGUCCAAGGGAAUAGUUCUGCAAAGGAUGGCAAAACCGAGCAAGACAGUGCAGAGAUGGACAGCAUGCGUACUGAUGGUGCAAAUAGAGUGGAGCUGAGGCUGGACCUGGACCACAUACAGGACCAGGAUGGAGUAAUUGGAGAGGAUAGACAAGGGGAUGGCAACACUAGCUGUGACAGUGGAACAGCUUCUUUGGACGAUGGCAGGACUCCCCCAGCUCAUCACAAUGGGCUUGCAGAGUCUUUACCUGCAGUUCUGGAUGGGACAGUAGAGGUUUUACCAAGUAACCUUGAGGAGCCAAAAGAGUCCUCUUCUUCUGUUCCAGAAGAGGUAUGUGUGAGUAGAGUACCUGAAUCUUCACCUUCUGAGUUGGACAACAUUUCCUCAGUUAAAUUAAACACUUCAGAGGAUGCUGCCAAACCUCAAGCUCCAGCAAGUCGAACUGAUAUAGUCACAAGCUCAGAUGCAGCACAGACUGAGGAAACUCAAUACUCACCCUCGGUGCCCAGCUCUAAUCCAUACGAUACAGACUGCAGCAAAAAGCUGAUGUCUGAGAUCCAGCGCUCCCUGUCUCAGGAGUCUCUACUGGAUGAGUUGGAGUCAGAGCUGCUAAACUUUCAGCUAGAUGAGCAGGGCAGCUGCAGACAAAGCCCUCCAAAUGGCCUGCCCAAAGACCAAGGCUCAGUGGUUGUGUUUGAGAAGUGCAUCCAGUACAAGUACUCACAACAGGAGAAGGCCAUCAAAAGGUUGUUGGAUGAGAAUAAGAAGCACCAGGAGCUCAUCCUGGGCAUCUGCUCUGAGAAAGACAACAUGAGAGAGGAUCUCAAGAAGAGGAUGGAGACCGAGAAACAGCACCUUGGUAUCAUUAAAAAGUUUGAGAGCAGGGUGGAGGAACUACUGAAAGAGGUGAAAGAGUCUAAGGACAAACUGGUUCAUCAGGACCAAAGCGCUAAGAAUACCAUCCAGCAAAUGCAAAAGGAGAUGGCCUAUCGCCUAGAGCAGGCUAAUAAGAAGUGUGAGGAAGCACGGCAAGAGAAGGAGGCAAUGGUUAUGAAAUAUGUGCGAGGGGAAAAGGAAGCGCUGGACCUGCGCAGGGACAAGGAGCAGUUGGAGAGAAAACUCAGGGAGGCCGUGACAGAGGUGGACAAACAGGCCAGAAGGGGGAACCAGCUAGCACAGGAGAAAGGACGGCUUCAGCAGCUAUAUGAUGCCAAGGAGAAUGAAAUGACUAGGUUGUCUCGGGAGCUGGAGAAACUCAAGGAUGAUAUAAACUCCCACCUCAUCAAAGUCAAGUGGGCACAGAACAAACUGAAGAGUGAGACAGAUGCUCAUAAGGAAACAAAGGACAAGUUAAAAGAAACGACUGCAAAGCUAACACAAGCUAAAGAGGAAACGGAACAGAUCCGCAAAAAUUGUCAAGAUAUGAUUCGCACCUAUCAGGAGUCAGAGGAAAUUAAGUCAAAUGAGUUGGAUGCAAAGCUGCGGGAGACGAAAGGAGAGUUGGAGAAGCACAAGCAGGAACAGACAGACCAGCUGGAGAUGCACCGAGCCAAGAUUAAGGAAUUGGAUGAUCUGAAAAGGAGCUUCAAAGAUAGCAUGGAUGAGCUUACCACUCUCAGAACUAAGGUGAAGUGUCUGGAGGAUGAGAGGCCUCGGUGGGAGGAUGAGCUGUGUAAAUACAGAGAGAUUAUCAAUAGACAGAAGUCAGAGAUCCAGAACCAGCGUGAGAAGCUGGGUGCCAUCCAGAGUUUAGAGGAGCAGCAUCAGAGAGAUGAACAGGAAAUGGCAUCUUUGAAGGAGGAAGUGGAAAGUCUGAACUCGCAGAUUGCAGACCUCCAAAAAGACGUUCAGGGUGGCCGAGUGCGGGAGGCUGAGCUCUUGGGCUUCACAGAGAGGCUCACUAGUAAGAACGCUCAUCUGCAGUCUGAGAGCAAUGGCCUGCAGGCCCAGCUGGACCGCAUGACCACCAGCUCCAGAGACCUGCAGAGCAGACUGGAAGAGGCUGAGAGGUCCCUUGCAGACAUGAUGGUAAGACUGAAGAGAGAGGAGCAGCAGAAGCAGGACGAAGUGCAGGCUCUGCAGACAGAGAGAACUGCGCUGCAAAAAGAAACUUCUCAAUUGAAGACACGUGUAGAGGAGCUCAGAGACGAGCUGGUCACACAGAAGAGGAAGCAGGUAGCGAACAUUAAGGAUCUCACCAAGCAGCUCACACAAGCUCGUAAGAAGCUGGAGCAGGUGGAGAAUGGAGGCUGUGAUCGAGAGGGCAGCAGCAUGGGAAGUCGCUCCAGCUCCUCAGGCUCUUUGAAUGCACGAGGCAGCAGUAUGGAUGAUCGUUCUCCUGAGAACCAGUCAGGGCCGUCUGUGGUGGUGGUGGACAGCUUUCCAGAGGUGGACAAGGCUGUGCUGGUGGAGCGCAUUGUGCGGCUACAGAAAGCCCAUGCCCGCAAGAAUGAAAAAAUCGAAUUCUUGGAGGACCACAUCAAACAGCUAGUGGAGGAGAUCAGAAAAAAGACAAAGUGAGUGAGAGAGCAAGUCUGCAAAAAGGGAAGUAUGUGAAAUCUCAGACAUGAUUCCGGGUUGGACUAAGUCUUGUUGGUAUUGUAAACACUGUGUGUUAGAUGGCAGUUUGAUGGCAGUGUCUAAAGAAAUCACCUCAUAUAGAGCAGAAGCUCUCUGAGCUUUGGUUUUAUGUAAUAUGGACAGUGCUGCUUGGCCUUGCCUAUGUGUUUGUCAUACCUCUUCGUUCUAACUCCCUCAUCCUGUGACGCCGAGACACUGAGACAGACUUUGACUGACAGUGGGAAUUUUUGCUGGGCAUUGUCCUUUUUGCAUUUGUUAGUUUUCCUUUUGCUUAUUUUUCCUUAUUUAAAAAAAAAAAAAAACUCUUCCUGACGAAGCUUGUGUCUUGUUUGUCAGACUUAGACAAUGGGAUUUGGCAGACAUAAACCUCUCACACAUGUUCCUACACACACACACACACACACACACACAUAUACACACACACACACACACACACACACACACACACACACACACAGGCAGGACAAAUCUGCCCUGUCCUCCAGGCAGAUGCUUAUUCUUAUUUAUAGUUAUCAGUUCUGGGUAAAUUAUGCAUCACUGAGGUUCCUAAUGAUGUGUGAUGCAUAUUCAUCUAUGUGCCAAAUACACAAAAUCAGGCCAUAUCUGUGGUCAGAUGAAGAAAUUUCAGUUGGUUUGGUCAGUCAGUGUGUGUGAGAGACAAGCUGUAAUACAUUGCAUAAGACUUCAGACAUCUUUGACGCUGUCUUAGGCAGAGCGGCUGUCUUGGCUUCUGAUAGGCUCAGUUGCUCUUGACCAAUGAUGUUCUUAAAUGAGCCCACCUGAACUAGUUUGUGUUUUUCACUUCUAAUCAGAGACACACCUGCAGCUGGACAGGAACAAUUUCCUGUUCAUGCAUCUGUGUACAAAAAAAAAACCCUCUUUUCUAGUCAAGUCCAAUUUUGCCAGCAAAAUCUAUUUUUUGUUUUUCUCUCUGUGUGUACUCUUUGAAGAUGAGUGACAUGUUUAAAUACUUGCUUACAGUAUGUCUGUAUAGUUUAUUAGGCUGAAUUAAUUACAGAAUUAAACUUGAUUUCAUAACAUCCUCUCAACAGCGGCAUAAAUCUGGCCACACUGUAUUAUUCAAACAACUUUAAACCUGCAUGUUCUUUAGAGGUAUUUUAUUAAGGGCAGGAAGUUAAUGUUGCUAAGACUGAAAUCAUGUUAAAAAUCAGUAGUGGAUGUUAAUUGAUUGGCAGUGAUGCCUAACUACAGAAGCGAUUAGAAAUUAUUAUUACAUUUUAGUGAAAAUACAUGUACAGUGCUUUGCAAAAGUCAGAAACUACCCUUCAUUUAUUUCCAGUCCAAACAUUCACUGCAAAUUCAUUUUUCAGCUUUAGGAGGAAAAAAAGCAGAAAACAUAUUUCUGGCAGAAAAUAACAUGGAAGUCUCAACAAUUAAAUAUAAAAAUGUUCAGUAUUUAGUGUGUCCACCCUUACAGCUUCCAUUCUUUUCGAGAGACUUGCUUUCAGUUUUCUGCAGGGAUGUUUUUCCAUACGUCCAAAUUUUAGUCAUUCUUUGUUUUGCUAAUUUUUUUUUUUCUUUUUUUUUUUAUUUCCUUCUCUCAGUAAUGGCUUCUUAACAGCUACAUAGCUGUUAACAGCUUUAACAGAUCCACACGUAUAACGCUGCGUUGUCUUCUCACAGUGAAAGGAUGGACAAAUAUACCUUUUUUUUUUUCUUCCCAGGUCUGAAGCAAGAGUGGAGCCUGACUUUCUGUCAUCUCUUAAAUAUAUGAAUAUUUUGAUUAGUAAUGUCAAUUAAUUCACUAAUAAUCAUUUACUUGGCUAAAGUGUGACUUGUAACCAUUAAGAGCUUUCAAAUUAGAAAUGUUUGGCAAUUUUUUGAUGAAAGAGCUUUGCCCAUAGUUUUGAGCUACAGUAAUUAUCUCUUAACAUUAGCUCUUAACAUUAGCUCUUCAGACUGCAGCAUUUUUUCAUGUGACAAUGGUAUUUUCAAAAUGGGUUGUAUUUUAAGCUAAUUAACGUGUAGUUCUGUCAUAACAAUACGUCUAUAUUAACAGAAACUAACACGACUUGCAUUCUAGUGACACAUUAGUAAUGUGACUUAAGUUUCUUAAGUGAUUUUUGACUUGUCCUUCUGAAAUGUCACUUACAGUGUGAACCCACUCAAAAAGUUGUGUUUGUCCUGGAAGGAAAGCUACUGUUUACUACAAGGCUCAUGUUGACUUCGAAUUCACCCACUGUUUGAAUCUGUACAUGCCACUGAGUAACUGUUGCACCAGUUAAGCUGUAACAGAAAAUUCAAAGAAGCUCAUUAGAUUAGUCCAUUUACUCACGGCUCUGUGUUAUGAGUAAUGUUGAAUAUUUGUUUCAGCCUGACUGUUUAUCUUAUAGUGACAGUGUUUCUGGUCUGCCAGGACUAUGGACUGUUAGGAGACCCAUUUUCGCUAUAUUUUUAAAGAGUUUUUUGAACUCUAGUUUUGGAAACUUCUGUUUAUUCACUUCUCCUUUAGUAUUGCCCUACAUUAUUCAAGUGGAUUAUUUUACAUAAUCUCCUCUAAAAUAUCGCUUGAAGAAUGAAUAACUUAAAUAAUUUAAAUUGAAUAAAUGAAGGGUCUCUGACUUCUGCAUUUUACUGUGUAUAUUGUGAUAUUUUCUAUUGACUGCUAAAUGAUAAUAGUGCAUGAUUACUAUUUUGUUUUUUGCAAAUAUGUGUUACGAUACAUACCUAGUUUUUAAAUUUCGAACACUUCCAUCUUUUGCUGUGUGUGGAUCAGUUGUAGCUUGAUGUGAGCGAUGAAACUUAAGAUGAAACUUAUCUGUACUGAAAUUGAAACUUUGCUUAUUAUAUAGAUCUAACCGAACAAUCAAGCUACAACUGAGUUUUGUCUUGUUUUUGUAUGAGUUUCUGUUGUUCUGCAUGUGUGUCUUUCUGGCUAGCAUGCUGCUGUAGCUGCUGUCCUUGCUUUCUCUCUGCUGCUCUUAUUGCUACAGCGGAGAAUCAGGCCAUGCCAUCCUGCCCUGGCUAUAGCUUUAUAAAGUAACAGAAAAUCAAAUAAUUUCAGGACGUGUUGCCACUGAUAUGGUUCUGACCCAGCAUCAAAAAGUUGCAUUACCAGAUGUCGAAAUAUUGGUGUAGUGGGUGAUAACCCCAUUACUUUAUACUUUAAUUAGCUUCUCCCCAGGCAACUCGGGCACUUUCUGUAGAUUCUGAUUUCAAGCACAUCUGCCUGUGGCCCUCCCCUUCGCAUGCAAGUUGCUAAAUUGGAGGCAACAUUUAAUUUAUUUUUUAUUUUGUUCUGUUAAAUACUACCGUGAUGGAAAUUGGGUCCAAACGGACCCAAGAUAAGUACAAGAAUUAUCCAGAGCUACGUGCUGAGGGAGGAGUCGGGUGCUCUCUCUUCUGAGGCUUCAGACUUUAAUAAAGCCCACCUCAGUAAGAGAGGGGGCAUCAUGGCCUCGCUGUACACCUCUCACCCAGCUGACAGUGGCC